GAUGAACGCUGACAGAAUGCUUAACACAUGCAAGUCAACUUGAACUUCGGUUUGGGUGGCGGACGGGUGAGUAACGCGUAAAGAACUUGCCUCACAGCUAGGGACAACAUUUGGAAACGAAUGCUAAUACCUGAUAUUAUGAUUUUAGGGCAUCCUAGAAUUAUGAAAGCUAUAUGCGCUGUGAGAGAGCUUUGCGUCCCAUUAGCUAGUUGGAGAGGUAACGGCUCACCAAGGCGAUGAUGGGUAGCCGGCCUGAGAGGGUGAACGGCCACAAGGGGACUGAGACACGGCCCUUACUCCUACGGGAGGCAGCAGUGGGGAAUAUUGGACAAUGGACCAAGAGUCUGAUCCAGCAAUUCUGUGUGCACGAUGAAGUUUUUCGGAAUGUAAAGUGCUUUCAGUUGGAAAGAAAAAAAUGACGGUACCAACAGAAGAAGUGACGGCUAAAUACGUG
rnacentral:rRNA from 1 species